CCUACGGGGGGCUGCAGUGGGGAAUAUUGGACAAUGGGGGAAACCCUGAUCCAGCAAUGCCGCGUGUGUGAAGAAGGCCUGCGGGUUGUAAAGCACUUUCGGUUGGGAAGAAAAGUUUGGCGCCAAUACCGCCGAACCUUGACGUUACUGACAGAAGAAGCACCGGCUAACUCUGUGCCAGCAGCCGCGGUAAUACAGAGGGUACAAACGUUAAGCGGAAUGACUGGAGGUAAAGCUUCCGUAGGGGUGCGAAAUCCCCGGGCUUAACCUGGGAACUGCAUUGGAUACUACAUGGCUAGAGUAUGGUAGAGGGAAGUGGAAUUUCCGGUGUAGCGGUGAAAUGCGUAGAUAUCGGAAGGAACACCAAUGGCGAAGGCAGCUUCCUGGACUAAUACUGACACUGAGGCACGAAAGCGUGGGUAGCAAACAGGAUUAGAUACCCGGGUAGUC
rnacentral:rRNA from 1 species